AAUCCAUAGGUUAAUGAGGCGAACCGGGGGAACUGAAACAUCUAAGUACCCCGAGGAAAAGAAAUCAACCGAGAUUCCCCCAGUAGCGGCGAGCGAACGGGGAGGAGCCCAGAGCCUGAAUCAGCAUGUGUGUUAGUGGAAGCGUCUGGAAAGGCGCGCGAUACAGGGUGACAGCCCCGUACACAAAAGCGCAUGUGCUGUGAGCUCGAUGAGUAGGGCGGGACACGUGGUAUCCUGUCUGAAUAUGGGGGGACCAUCCUCCAAGGCUAAAUACUCCUGACUGACCGAUAGUGAACCAGUACCGUGAGGGAAAGGCGAAAAGAACCCCGGCGAGGGGAGUGAAAAAGAACCUGAAACCGUGUACGUACAAGCAGUGGGAGCACCCUUUGGGGUGUGACUGCGUACCUUUUGUAUAAUGGGUCAGCGACUUAUAUUCUGUAGCAAGGUUAACCGUAUAGGGGAGCCGGAGGGAAACCGAGUCUUAACCGGGCGUUAAGUUGCAGGGUAUAGACCCGAAACCCGGUGAUCUAGCCAUGGGCAGGUUGAAGGUUGGGUAACACUAACUGGAGGACCGAACCGACUAAUGUUGAAAAAUUAGCGGAUGACCUGUGGCUGGGGGUGAAAGGCCAAUCAAACCGGGAGAUAGCUGGUUCUCCCCGAAAGCUAUUUAGGUAGCGCCUCGUGAAUUCAUCUCCGGGGGUAGAGCACUGUUUCGGCUAGGGGGCCAUCCCGGCUUACCAACCCGAUGCAAACUGCGAAUACCGGAGAAUGUUAUCACGGGAGACACACGGCGGGUGCUAACGUCCGUCGUGAAGAGGGAAACAACCCAGACCGCCAGCUAAGGUCCCAAAGUCAUGGUUAAGUGGGAAACGAUGUGGGAAGGCCCAGACAGCCAGGAUGUUGGCUUAGAAGCAGCCAUCAUUUAAAGAAAGCGUAAUAGCUCACUGGUCGAGUCGGCCUGCGCGGAAGAUGUAACGGGGCUAAACCAUGCACCGAAGCUGCGGCAGCGACGCUGAUGCGUUGUUGGGUAGGGGAGCGUUCUGUAAGCCUGCGAAGGUGGCCUGUGAGGGUUGCUGGAGGUAUCAGAAGUGCGAAUGCUGACAUAAGUAACGAUAAAGCGGGUGAAAAGCCCGCUCGCCGGAAGACCAAGGGUUCCUGUCCAACGUUAAUCGGGGCAGGGUGAGUCGACCCCUAAGGCGAGGCCGAAAGGCGUAGUCGAUGGGAAACGGGUUAAUAUUCCCGUACUUGGUGUUACUGCGAAGGGGGGACGGAGAAGGCUAUGUUGGCCGGGCGACGGUU
rnacentral:rRNA from 3 species